UGGGGAAUAUUGCACAAUGGGGGAAACCCUGAUGCAGCAACGCCGCGUGGGUGAAGAAGUAUUUCGGUAUGUAAAGCCCUAUCAGCAGGGAAGAAGAAGGACGGUACCUGACUAAGAAGCCCCGGCUAACUACGUGCCAGCAGCCGCGGUAAUACGUAGGGGGCAAGCGUUAUCCGGAUUUACUGGGUGUAAAGGGAGCGUAGACGGUUUUAUAAGUCUGAAGUGAAAGGCCAAGGCUUAACCAUGGAACUGCUUUGGAAACUAUGAGGCUAGAGUGCUGGAGAGGUAAGCGGAAUUCCUAGU
rnacentral:rRNA from 1 species